rnacentral:rRNA from 1 species
GACGAACGCUGGCGGCGUGCUUAACACAUGCAAGUCGAACGGAAAGGCCCUGCUUUUGUGGGGUGCUCGAGUGGCGAACGGGUGAGUAACACGUGAGUAACCUGCCCUUGACUUUGGGAUAACUUCAGGAAACUGGGGCUCAUACCGGAUAGGAGCUCCUGCUGCAUGGUGGGGGUUGGAAAGUUUCGGCGGUUGGGGAUGGACUCGCGGCUUAUCAGCUUGUUGGUGGGGUAGUGGCUUACCAAGGCUUUGACGGGUAGCCGGCCUGAGAGGGUGACCGGCGACAUUGGGACUGAGAUACGGCCCAGAAUCCUACGGGAGGCAGCAGUGGGGAAUAUUGCACAAUGGGCGGAAGCCUGAUGCAGCAACGCCGCGUGCGGGAUGACGGGCUUCGGGUUGUAAACCGCUUUCGACUGUGACGAAGCGUGAGUGACGGUAAUGGGUAAAGAAGCACCGGCUAACUACGUG